AUUGAACGCUGGCGGCAGGCCUAACACAUGCAAGUCGAGCGGAUGAUGGGAGCUUGCUCCUGGAUUCAGCGGCGGACGGGUGAGUAAUGCCUAGGAAUCUGCCUGGUAGUGGGGGACAACGUUUCGAAAGGAACGCUAAUACCGCAUACGUCCUACGGGAGAAAGCAGGGGACCUUCGGGCCCUGCGCUAUCAGAUGAGCCUAGGUCGGAUUAGCUUGUUGGUGAGGUAAUGGCUCACCAAGGCGACGAUCCGUAACUGGUCUGAGAGUAUGAUACGACACACUGGAGCUGAGACACGGUCCAGACUCCUACGGGAGGCAGCAGUGGGGAAUAUUGGACAAUGGGCGAAAGCCUGAUCCAGCCAUGCCGCGUGUGUGAAGAAGGUCUUCGGAUUGUAAAGCACUUUAAGUUGGGAGGAAGGGUUGUAGACUAAUACUCUGCAAUUUUGACGUUACCGACAGAAUAAGCACCGGCUAACUCUGUGCCAGCCGCCGCCGUAAGAC
rnacentral:rRNA from 1 species